rnacentral:rRNA from 1 species
CGGGUGAGUAACACGUGGAUAACCUACCUAUAAGACUGGGAUAACUUCGGGAAACCGGAGCUAAUACCGGAUAAGAUUUUGAACCGCAUGGUUCAAUAGUGAAAGACGGCCUUGCUGUCACUUAUAGAUGGAUCCGCGCCGUAUUAGCUAGUUGGUAAGGUAACGGCUUACCAAGGCAACGAUACGUAGCCGACCUGAGAGGGUGAUCGGCCACACUGGAACUGAGACACGGUCCAGACUCCUACGGGAGGCAGCAGUAGGGAAUCUUCCGCAAUGGGCGAAAGCCUGACGGAGCAACGCCGCGUGAGUGAUGAAGGUCUUCGGAUCGUAAAACUCUGUUAUCAGGGAAGAACAAACGUGUAAGUAACUGUGCACGUCUUGACGGUACCUGAUCAGAAAGCCACGGCUAACUACGUGCCAGCAGCCGCGGUAAUACGUAGGUGGCAAGCGUUAUCCGGAAUUAUUGGGCGUAAAGCGCGCGUAGGCGGUUUUUUAAGUCUGAUGUGAAAGCCCACGGCUCAACCGUGGAGGGUCAUUGGAAACUGGAAAACUUGAGUGCAGAAGAGGAAAGUGGAAUUCCAUGUGUAGCGGUGAAAUGCGCAGAGAUAUGGAGGAACACCAGUGGCGAAGGCGACUUUCUGGUCUGUAACUGACGCUGAUGUGCGAAAGCGUGGGGAUCAAACAGGAUUAGAUACCCUGGUAGUCCACGCCGUAAACGAUGAGUGCUAAGUGUUAGGGGGUUUCCGCCC